rnacentral:siRNA from 1 species
AUAACAAAGGGAAGUUUGCCA